CUCUCCUCACUGGUACACAGGGAUCUAUCCUUUUGUUUUCAAGUUAUUAAAAUUAUAAAAGUGUUGUUGAUUAGUAGCAUGGAGGAUGCAGAGUUUGUAAGCAACAGGAGACAAAGGUGUGGGUUCCUAAAAAGACUGCUGACUUCACGCUGGGAAGCACUCAGGAUAAGCAAAAGCCUGCAGAGAAAACAAAGCUGUUGGUUUAGGACGUGGAGCAGAAGGUGCGGGGGAACCUGCCGGAGGCUCCUGCUGCGCGGGGUCGUGGGUCGCGGUAGAGCAGCCGGCUCGGGAUCAAGCUCAAGGUUCUCAAGUGAUGGAAAAACCGUUUGACACAACGUCUCUGCGAGCCUGCCUUGCUAACGUGAGCCAGCUGAGGGAACACAAACAGAGGCACUGUAACCAGCCCAAAUCCCACCUUCCUCUGAAACUUCCAAGCCUCUUUUUUCCUGUCAGAUUCCAGACAGAUGAAAUUUUCCUGGCGUGGGCUCACUCCUGAUUUAUCGCGAUUCAGAGAUGUUGCCAGGACUUGAGUUUGCUGAUUGACAGGCCAGGAAGGGAAGGUGUCUGGCCCCGCAGAUCAAAUACGGCCUCAUCUGCCCCCGUUCUGCCUCCUCCUUCAGGACUUGCCAUGCUAUUUCUCAUUUUCUGGAAAUCCCAACUUAAAUUUGAUUCCAAAGCCCGGUUGAUACUGUUGUUUGCAUGAUAGUGUCAAGAGUGAGCACAUUCCUUGGAUCAUAAAUCAUCUCAACCUGACCCCAAUUAAUUACAGGCCCUGGGUUUCAUUUCUCUCGGUUCUUACCAGCCAUAACAAAUGAGGUCAUUCUGUGUCAGUGAGACAUCGGAGCAGACACCACUGAGGAAGUCACAGGGGACUCUGAUCCCGUUAUGCUGCAGGAAGAGUAGAGGAGAAGGAAUGGGCCACAUCCUCCCAUUGCUUCCUAAAUAGGAGCCAUGGGAUGCUCAGCAGCAGAGUUAAAGUUGUUUUUUUUUUUUUUAUAAGGAUGCAUGAAAACUAUUUAAGUUUUAUUUAAAUUUUGGCAAUGUAGUGAAUGAGGCAAUCUUGGAUGCUGAGGACUACCAAGCUUGCAAGAAAUGUCUUGGGUGAACCCAUCCAAGCCCUUGUGCUCCAGCUGGAGCACAUUCAAUUGGGUCUUGAGCUCAGGUGCACAUCAGAGGCAUCUGAAGGGGCAUAAAAGUGCAGUAACAAUGCAAUAAUGGUGAAUGAUCAGAAAUUCUGUCUCUGUGGAAGGGCAGUUGGAUCCAUUUUGUAAGGACUACCAGCAAGAGAAAUUUCCUAAAAACCCUAGAUCCUUUUCAUUAAAAAUGCAUGUGUAAUGAGAUGAAAAGAGAUGCAGAAUUGAACCACAGCUGCACAAUAAUAUAUUAUUAGUUAUGGCAUAGGCAUUGCAAAGCAUGGAAAAAAGGAUGGAGAAUGGUUCAUUACAAACUGGAAUUGGGGCAAGUGAGCACGGCUGGGGUAUCUCACGAGAAGAGAGCAGGGGCUGAGCCACCUGGGCUGAAUUGUAAGGCUUCAUCUGUAUAUACAUGUAAAGUACACAGGUGUAUUUUUCACCACGUGUUGCCUCCUCACCUGCCCAAAUUGUUGUGUUCACUGUGACUAGAGGGCUAACUGGCUAUGAAUGAUGGCCUGAUACUACAUGAGAUGCAUUCUCAAUGCUAGCCAGCUUCACAUCUGAAGAAUAAUUAUAUAUAUAUUUUUAAUCCCCAUUAAAAGCUACCUGCCAUUUAACCCUGUCUACCACUGUCUACUUCUGGACGGAGUAACAUUGGUUUUUAUCUGUGAAACCUCAUACUGUUAAAUGCGAUGAGCUCAUCCUAUUUCUUGGCAUCGUCUCAUCUUGAUUUUGGCAGAGACAGAAUGAGAUUUCAGCAGAGAGAAGACGGUAAUAAAAGCUCAUUUUUCUCCUAAAAAUAAUGCUGGUUGAGUUAGUCCUAAAAACUGUGAAAGGAAAGUGAACAUCCAAGCCAAGUUUCAUAUUUGAAGCUGUAUGCAGAUUCCAAAUCCAACAUUAUUGCCCUUGUGUUGUUUUCCAAAUGGUAUUAUAUUCUUCAGAUGCACAAAAGACAGUAAAGCAAGUGCAGCUGUUUUUCUCAGCAUCCAGAGGCUGAUCUCCAAAGGACAACUUUUUGACUGACCUCAGAAUAUUUGUUGUGCCCAUCCUCAGUUCUAGAAAGCUUCAGGUGCCAUCUCCUCUCCAGCUGCCUCUCAGCUUGUUGCUAUAAGUAGGGUGCUGCCAUUGAUCUACCUGACUGGGGCUCCAGAAGUCUCGGUUCCCCUGCAAGUGCUCUGCCAGCAUUUCCCAAAUUCCUGCUUUCCAUCUGGAAAAGGAGGGCACCAGGGGACCACUUUUGCUUUCUUCUGGAAGUUUGGUAUUUGAAAUGACAAAGUGCCUUAAGGCAAGACCUGCUCUGAGCUGAGCUCUGAUCUCAGCUGAAGUCUCUUGGUGCUACUGAACCCCAAGGAUAAAUAACUGAGAAUACUUUCCACUGAGUUUGUCUCCAUUAUGGCUUUCUCUGACUUUAUAAAUGCUCUGCUAGAAUUGGGAGGCUUUUUCGAAGAAAUUUUGCAAAAGCACAAGAGCAGGAAGAAUUUGAUUCUUGCAGUAGAAUGACUUUUUUUUCCAUGCUUAUUUGUCUAGCGCUUGAAUGGUUGGAAAUGUCUUCUCAGUAUGUGCAUUAAAGACUUCCUGCCUGGAGUGUGCAAAGGACUCCGAGCAUUCACAGGAUAUUAAACAGAUUCGUAAUGGAACCCAACAGUAUAAACAUGUCUUCAGUGCAGACAGGAAUGCCACAAACCCUUAUGUCGUGUAAUGUAAAACAUACCCCGGUUGUGUCUGUCUUCUCUUCUGCAAAUAAACAAGGCAGAGAUGUGUUUAAAAUGUUUCCUUCUGA